rnacentral:rRNA from 1 species
ACGCUGGCGGCGUGCCUAACACAUGCAAGUCGAACGGGGAUUUUGUUUCGGCAGAAUCCUAGUGGCGAACGGGUGAGUAACGCGUAGGCAACCUGCCCUCCGGCCGGGGACAACAUCCAAAGGGGUGCUAAUACCGGAUACGAAGUCUGUGCCGCAUGGUACGGAUUUGAAAGAUGGCCUCUAUUUAUAAGCUAUCGCCGGGGGAUGGGCCUGCGUCCGAUUAGCUGGUUGGUGGGGUAACGGCCUACCAAGGCGACGAUCGGUAGCCGGUCUGAGAGGAUGAACGGCCACAUUGGGACUGAGACACGGCCCAGACUCCUACGGGAGGCAGCAGUGGGGAAUCUUCCGCAAUGGGCGCAAGCCUGACGGAGCAACGCCGCGUGAGUGAGGAAGUUCUUCGGAACGUAAAGCUCUGUUGUUCCUGACGAACCUCCCCUCUAUCAACAACGGAGGGGACUGACGGUAGGGAACGAGGAAGCCACGGCUAACUACGUGCCAGCCGCCGC